CCUACGGGUGGCAGCAGUAGGGAAUCUUUCACAAUGGGCGAAAGUCUGAUGGAGCAACGCCGCGUGAAGGAUGAAGGCCUUCGGGUUGUAAAAUGCUUUUAUUAGAGAGAAAUAUGAUGGUAACUUAUGAAUAAGGAUUGGAUAAUAACGAGCCAGAAGCCGCGGUCAUACGAAGGAUCCGAGGGUGAUACGGAGUGUCUGGGUGUAAAGAGUUGCGUAGGUGGGAUAAUAAGUAACAAGUGGAAUCUGGUGGGUCAACCAUUCAGACUAUUCGCUAAACUGGUAAGCUUGAGACCGUUAGAGGUGACUGGAAUUCGUAGUGUAGCGGUGAAAUGCGUAGAUAUUAGGAGGAACACCAAUAGCGAAGGCAGGUCGCUGGUACGUAUCUGACACUGAGGCUCGAAAGCGUAGGUAGCAAACAGGAUUAGAUACCCGUGUAGUC
rnacentral:rRNA from 1 species